CUUCUUCUUCUUCUCCUCCUCCUCCUCCUCCUCCUCCUUCUUCUUCUUCUUCUUCUUCUUCUUCUUCUUCUUCUUCUUCUUCUUCUUCUUCUUCUUCUUCUUCUUCUUCUUCUUCUUCUUCUUCUUCUUCUACUACUACUACUCUCUUCUACUACCACUUUGUAUUGCUAUUUGGAUUUGGAUGACCCAUGUGAUAUUUACUUUUUUUCUCCUAUUUGUGGCAUUUGCAAUGAUGAAUUUUUUCAAACUUUUAAAAAAUGCUGAGGCAAUGGCAUUUGCAAAGAUGACAAACUUUUUAUGCUGAGGCAGCGGCUAUGAUGAUGAAAUGUCCUCAUACUUCUGAGCCUCUAAACUAGGAUGGCUUGUAUACCACAUACAAGCAACCAGUUUAGAAGCGAUGUGAUGACAAUGGAACAAAUUUGAGCCAAUUAUUCUAUUUGAUACUAUUCUUAUACAAUAAUGUACUUAUAUAUAUACAUUAAUGAUUUAAAUUUUGUUGCCUUUUCUAAUUCAACUUAAGAAUAACUUUACUCUAUAAAUUUCAUUUGUUCAUUCCACUACGGCCUACUAGACUAACGAAAUCAUUGACACUUGUAGAUUCUAGCUUGGACAGCCUAUUUAAGAUGAUUCCUGAGAAAAAUAUCAAUUAUAUUGUUUAUAUGAUUCCUGUGAUGUCUGUCAAUUUGAGAUUUUUAUGCUGCCUAUGAUGCCAACGUACUUUUUGCUAAGCAAAUGCCACGGCCUGUGAUGCCUAAUUUUUUCUAAGAAAAAGCCACUGCCUAUCAUGCGAAAUUAUUUUGAAAUGGAGUUGAUUUGUAAAGGCCAAAGGACUUUGCCCUUCAGGAAUGAUUCGACUACUACUACUCUAUUCUACUACUACUGCUCCUCUCUUCUUCUUUUUAUUCUUCUUUUUCUUCUUCUUCUUCUUCUUCAUCUUCUUCUUCAUCUUCCUCUUCUUCUUCUUCUUCUUCUUCUCCUUCUUCUUCUUCUUCUUCUUCUCCUCCUCCUCCUCCUCCUCCUCCUCCUCCUCCUCCUUCUUCUUCUUCUUCUUCUUCUUCUUCUUCUUCUUCUACUCUCUUCUACUACCACUUUGUAUUGCUAUUUGGAUUUGGAUGACCCAUGUGAUAUUUACUCUUUUCCUCCUAUUUGUGGCAUUUGCAAUGAUGAAUUUUUUUCAAACUUCUAAAAAAUGCUGAGGCAAUGACAUUUGCAAUGAUGACAAACUUUUUAUGCUGAGGCAGCGGCUAUGAUGAUGAAAUGUCCUCAUACUUCUGAGCCUCUAAACUAGGAUGCCUUGUAUACCACAUACAAGCAACCAGUUUAGAAGCGAUGUGAUGACAAUGGGAUAAAUUUGAGCCAAUUAUUCUAUUUGAUACUAUUCUUAUACAAUAAUAUACUUAUAUAUAUAUAUACAUUAAUGAUUUAAA
rnacentral:lncRNA from 1 species